ACAGUUCAGAUUCUCUUUGAAAAAAGAGCAUUACAAGCCAUAUGAGAAAACAGUGGAAGAGAUGUGUAAUCAGGAACCACCGCAUGGAAUAAGCAGGAACAAUUGGGUAAAGUUGGUGAAGUACUGGGAUUCAGAGAAAGCGAAAAAUUUGUCUAUAGCUGGAAAAAAGCACGAGCCUUCGUAAAUCAGCUUCACAGAUCUAGCUCUUAUAGCUUUGCAAACCAACAAGCUGAUUAUGAAGAUGAACAUGGAGAAAAAAUGAGCUUAUUAUCUCUUUGGAUAAAAGCUCAUACGGGUAAGGACGGAAGCUUUCUUCCCGACACCGUCACUGCAUAUUUUGUGGAUGAUGUAAACGCUAAGGUUGAAGAGUUGAGGAUGUUGUAUCCU